AUGAAGAAGAUAACGAUAUCGAUAGAUGUAGAGAUUGGGGAUUUUUUGUUUUUUUUUGGUGUUUAUUUGGGGUGGUUAGAGGAGUAGAGGAAGAAGAAGGAGAAGAAGAUGAUGAUGAUGAUGAUGAUCAAGUAGUGUUCUGUAAUUGCGAUGCGAUUAGAUUGAAAUCGGAAUCAAAUUACCCCUUAAAUUCUUUUCUUUUUUCUUUUUUGGGUUCUUUUUAUUCUCGUGGUAAUUUUUGGUGCUAUUUUCGUGUGCAUUGAUUGGCUUCGGGGUACGAUACAAUCCAAUACGAUACAAUCCUCCUCUCUCCGCCGCUGUUGUUAACGCCGUGAUCGUCGCGCUCGUCGUCGUUCUCAAAUUCGCCCUAAUUUUGUGCCCCUUUUCCCCCGAUCGAGAAAGGUCAGUUUUCAAGUGGAACCAAGGGCCAGUGGGGUAAAGACUAAUGGACUUGUUUGGCCCCCAUUAUAUCCUCGGCAAUAAUGGUGCAGUCUAGAGCUAGAGCUGUUCGAAUAAGCACUAACAACUUUUUAUUAUAACACAAGCUAAGGCUACAAAUCAAAACUUAUGCUCGAGGGUCGAAAUGUUUUACGUCAGAAGAUUCAGAUUACAGAUUAUGUUUGUUAAAUACUACUGUUGUAAAACCCAGGACUUGGUUAUUUGUAAUUAUAUGCCAUUAGUCUGAAA